ensembl:snRNA U6 U6 spliceosomal RNA
GUGCUUGCUUUGGCAGCACAUAUACUAAUACUGGAAUGAUAGAGAAAACAUUAGUAUGGCCCUGAUCAAGGAUGCCUUAGAAAUUCAUGAAGAACAUAAGCAAGGAUAU